rnacentral:rRNA from 1 species
GACGAACGCUGGCGGCGUGCUUAACACAUGCAAGUCGAACGGAAAGGCCCUGCUUUUGUGGGGUGCUCGAGUGGCGAACGGGUGAGUAACACGUGAGUAACCUGCCCUUGACUUUGGGAUAACUUCAGGAAACUGGGGCUAAUACCGGAUAGGAGCUCCUGCUGCAUGGUGGGGGUUGGAAAGUUUCGGCGGCUGGGGAUGGACUCGCGGCUUAUCAGCUUGUUGGUGGGGUAGUGGCUUACCAAGGCUUUGACGGGUAGCCGGCCUGGGAGGGUGACCGGCCACAUUGGGACUGAGAUACGGCCCAGACUCCUACGGGAGGCAGCAGUGGGGAAUAUUGCACAAUGGGCGGAAGCCUGAUGCAGCAACGCCGCGUGCGGGAUGACGGCCUUCGGGUUGUAAACCGCUUUCGCCUGUGACGAAGCGUGAGUGACGGUAAUGGGUAAAGAAGCACCGGCUAACUACGUG